rnacentral:rRNA from 1 species
UACGUAGGGGGCAAGCGUUGUCCGGAAUUAUUGGGCGUAAAGAGCGUGUAGGCGGUCCGGUAAGUCAGCUGUGAAAGUCAAGGGCUCAACCCUUGAAUGCCGGUUGAUACUGUCGGGCUAGAGUCCGGAAGAGGAGAGUGGAAUUCCUGGUGUAGCGGUGAAAUGCGCAGAUAUCAGGAAGAACACCCGUGGCGAAGGCGGCUCUCUGGUACGUGACUGACGCUGAGACGCGAAAGCGUGGGGAGCGAACAGG